AGCCCUAAGGUGGGGAGGGUUGCGCCGACACCUCCACUCCGUUUCGGCGGAAUGUGGCUGGCUAGGGUGGCCUGAACCACUGUCUGGGUUGUUUGUCGUUCAGUCGGAUUGAGGAUCUGCCUCCCUUGAGGUGCACAUGUCAUAGUGGUGGCAGAAGCGAGUGUGAGUGAAGCUGAUGUCAUCCCGACGUCGUAACACCGUUGGGCGGGGCGGGGCUCUCAUGUCAAGUCUCCCCGCGGUGCACAUGUCACAGAGGUGCAAAUAGCAUGGCCUUCUUUCCUAUCUUUUCCCCCUCCUCCUCCUCCACCCCCUCCCCCACACACACCUCCUGCUGUUAUAUCGUCACCCUCAUAAAGUAAUUGCCUAAGUCAUUUUUCAGUGAUUUCCAUUUUUGUUAAGUUGUCUUAGAUAUUCAGGGUUUGAGUGUUCUAGAAUUGCCUUUUUAUUUCUGCCUAAAUCUUAAGCCAAAUGAGAUGAUGACGUUCUCUUCUUGAAAAAUAGAAAAUAACGACUUGGGCGGUUUCUUUACGAAGGUGGCGAGAUUGUAAUAGGUUUUGCACCCUCUAUUUAGGGAUGUGCACUAAUUUUUGUCUCUUCUCUUCCCCUCCUCCUCCCCUGGCUGGCCGGGGAACGGAGGAGGAGCACUAGGACGAGGAGGUGAAGGGAGGCGGAGGGAGAGACGACUCGAGCACAGGGAGGCAAGAGACAAGAAGCAGAGACGCAGGAACAGAAAGGCAGCCAGAUGGUCGAUGCUGUGAAGAGGAGGAAGAUGACUGCAGGAGGCGGUGUGUGUGUGUUGGGGAAGGAGACGACGGCACCAACCUCACACACAGCUGGUUAAGGCCUGCAAGAGAGCCUAGUCAAUGAAGAGGAAAAGAAGACAAGAAGAAAGAAGACAAGAAGAAAGAAGAGGCAAAACAGGAGGAGGGGAUUUUUUUCUGUCUAUACCUGAAGUGUGAUGAAUUUACUAAGGGUAUAUUUAAGCCUGAUAUAACGUACUUUAAGGUAUAUUUAAUGGUACAAGUGUGUAGCCUACUUUUGCCUGGAGUUGGAGACGGUAAAAUGCUCUCCGACUCCUUUAUUGUGGUGCUGUGUGGUUUGUUUACUGUGGUGCGAUGUGGGUCAUUUACUGUGGUGCGGUGUGGCUCGUUAACUGAGGUGAGGUAUGGUUCGUUUAUUGUAGUGCGGUAUGGUUCGUUUACUGUGGUGCGGUGCGGCUCGUUAAUUAAGGUGAGGUGUGGUCCAUUUAUUGUGGUGCGGUGUGGUUCGUUAAUUAAGGUCAGGUAUGGUUCGUUUAUUGUAGUGCGGUAUGGUUCGUUUACUGUGGUGCGGUGUGGCUCGUUAAUUAAGGUGAGGUGUGGUUCGUUUAUUGUGGUGCGGUGUGGCGUUGCGGGCUUUACUUUCCCUACCACUGCACCAGACAAGGGUAAGGGGGAGGGGGUGGAGUCAAAUUUUUUUAUAUCCGACUCCACACCUGUGUUAGAGUGUAAGAGUAUUGAUGGAAUAUAUUUAAGGUGCUGGGGGAUACUGUGGUGCGCUUGUCGCGGCAACCCAUUCUGCUUCUGCAUAACCCGUACUGCUGCAUGACGCAUAGCAACUCGUGUUUUUUCUGCUUCUGCAUAACCCGUACUGCUGCAUGACGCAUAGCAACUCGUGUUUUUUCCGCUGUUGCAACGACCCGUACUGCUAACGCAUAACGACCUGUGCUGCUUCUGCUAUUGUAACAACUCUUACUGCAAUAACUUACUGCUGCUUCCAUUUAAAAACGUAUUGUUUCCGCUGCUUCUAUUAUUACAACCACCCACACUGCUGCUGCUGCCCAGGUCUUCAAACAGUGGCUUGCUUGACGUGAAGCGCUGCAUGCAUCAUGGCAGUCACUAGAGAUAAAAUUCGCCUGUGCCACUUCUGCUGUCGCAUAAACCCGCUGUGUUGCUAACUUGGCAACAACCCAACUAAUGAAUUUUCUGAUCAAAGAUCAAAGAGAGGAUUAGGCCUUCAGGGGACACCUCUUAAAUAAAAACGCGCCUGGGACUUUUACCUCAGAGGUGGUGUGGAAAAAAAGUCCAGUCACGAAAAUAAGUAUCUUAUACUCCAUGAAAGUGUCUCAGUCUUAUGAGAACACAAAGGUUGAGAGGGCUCAAACAUUCUGUUGUUUCCCGCAUAUGCUCCCAUGUUAGCAGUAAGGGCACUAAAUUCUGAUCUCUGUACAAAACAACCAAAUAUACAUAAUAACGAACAGAAAGUUAAAUAAAAUGUUUGCCUGCAUUACCCGUCAGCAGCGUAGACGUAACAAGGGUUGAAAAAAUGACUUAUUUAUUACAGCCGCUGGCCAACGCCUUGACCCCAGAGGCUUUGUGUUUGUCUCCGCGUCCUCCGCACUACACUGCACAGAAUCUGGCGAGCCUGGGUUGUGACAGCUAUUUCCCAAAGCCUCCAAGGAUACCAGUCAGGCUUAUGAGUGUUUUUCGUGUUGUUGGGGAAGCUCGCAAAUCUACACCUGGAAAUACUACUACCAACACAACCCAUAUGAAAGCCUUUCCUAAAACAUAAAACCUCUACCAGUGCCUUACCAGAAAGAACCAAAGCUUACCAAAUACCCAAAAAUCUCUACUAUUUGUGGUUGACUCAAGGUAUUGAAUUUUCACUUAUUUUUUUUACACUGAUGUUAGUGUCCCUUAUAUGUCUUGUUGGGUCUGUUAUUUGUUCUAUAUAUAAGGUAUUGAAUUUGCACUUAUUUUUUAUAAUGACGUUAGUGUCCCUCAUAUGUCGUGUCAUUGAGGGAGUGUUUGGGUCUAUUAUUUGUUCUAUAUAUAAGGUAUUGAAUUUCCACUGAUUUUGUAUACUUAUGUUACUGUCCCUCAUAUGUUGUGUCAUUGAGGGAGUGUUUGGGUCUAUCAUUUUUGUUUUGAUGCCCUUUUAUGGAUCUAAAUAAUGACAUCCACCUUAAAAUAAAUGUAUGUGUCUGUGGUCAUCCCAAAGCUGAAGGUUGGUAUCUACUCCACUGUUUUUCAUGUUUUCUCGGACAGUUCAUAUUAUUAGCAAAUGUUUUUACCCGUCCGCUGUGAUUGGCACGGAUUUCGCCUUCACUGGUAACCUGGUAACAUGUACUCCCAAAUCAUUCUUUGUCUCUGGUGGAUAGUGGAGUGUUUCCCAUGUGGUAUUGGUGUGCUGGAUAUCCCUUCACUGGUAGCCUGGUAACAUAUGUACUCCCAGAUCAUUCUUUGUCUCUGUGGUGGAUAGUGGAGUGCUUCCCACGUGGUACUGGUGUGGUGGAUAUCCCCUCCCAAGGUGCAGGACUAUAUAUUUUUCUUCACUGAAUUGUAGCAGCCACUUUUUGCUCCACUCCUGUAGCUUGGUGAUGUCUUCUUGUAGGAAAUCCACAGUGAAGGGUUUAAGCAAGUGAGAUUUUACCCUCCCAUGACCAGUGUACAGAAGGGACCCUGUAGUUGUUUGAAGGAAUAUUACCGGAUUGAUUAACUAGAUGGUACAUAUUAGAUUAGGGCAAAAUGUGAGAAUGGGGGCAGGAGACUGGCUUCAACUAGAGGGUAUAAUAUAGAUUGACCUUGUAGUUGUUUGAAGGAAUAUUACUGGACUUGGGAGAGAGUGUGGAGGGAGGAGGAGAAAUAUUGAUAAUAGACGAUAGUGAUCCUUUAUAUGGUGAUGAAGGGAAUGGUGAUAGGUACUGGUGAUGAUAAUGGUGAUGUUAUAGUGAUGGAGGGAGGGAUGUGGCAGGUGGUUGGAUGAGAGGUGAAGGGGGAUGGGGAGGAAGGGGAGGUGAGGGGAAGAGGAGGAAGCGUGGGGGGUGAAUGGGGAGAGGGAGGGAAUGGGUAAGAAGGGAGAAGGGAGGAGAUGAAUACAUAGGAAUACAUAAGAACAUAAGAACAUAAGAACGCAGGAGUCUGCAAGAGGCCGGUAGGCCUGUACGAGGCAGCUCCUUUGACCCUAAGCUCCCGUGUAUCUAACCCCACCUAAUAUCGCUGUCCAUGAAUUUAUCUAGUCUAUUUUUGAAUGUGACAAUUGUAUUGGCACUCACCACAUGACUGCUAAGCCUAUUCCACUCAUCCACCACCCUGUUAGUAAACCAAUUUUUGCCUAUGUCCCUGUUGAAUCUGAAUUUAUCCAGUUUAAACCCGUUACUUCGUGUCCUACCCGGUUCUCUUACCAACAAAACCUUAUGAAUGUCUCCCUUAUUAAAGCCCUUCAUCCAUUUAUAAACCUCGAUCAUGUCUCCACGCACCCUUCGCCUUUCUAGAGAAUGCAAGUUUAACUGUUUGAGUCUUUCCUCGUAUGGCAAGUUUCUCAACCCCUGAAUCAUCUUAGUCAUCCUCCUCUGCACCGAUUCUAACAUUUUGAUAUCCAUUCUAUAGUAGGGUGACCAGAACUGAACCGCACCAGAAGACCUAUCAGUCUAUGGCGAGGGUGUCUGUUUACUACCGCUACUACUAGAAAUCUACGUGUGGUAGGACAGGACAGAAAAGAUGAAGGGGUGGGAGGUGGAGAGGGGUUGAGGGGUGCG